rnacentral:piRNA from 1 species
UAGAGGCUAAAGAUUAAUCUAGGUGUAUUC